rnacentral:lncRNA from 7 species
CGGCACACACGCAGACUCGCUGCUGGUCGAAGACCAGAAAACUCAGGCAGAAGCGAACCGUACAACAACUCAUCAAUCCCUAGCCAGAUCUGAAAAGAACCACCCCGACUCCACUGCCAUUCAAGUCGACCCCAAUCAGCGCUAGCAUUCUUAUUCACCUGCACCGUUGUUCCCAGCAAACGCAAGAGCUGAGAGCACGAAUUGUAUCAUCUAGAAGCACAUCGAUCAAUAUUCCCGUAGGCUACACACAGAAUUAACCUACAUAACCUAAAUUACACAAACUUAACCAUAAACUGCGAUAAAAAAAUCCCCUCUCCACCCAGACACCCACAAGAACACACUACACACGGUAAACCCUCAAAUCCACAACCCCAGGUCUGGUCUCUAGCAGAUCCAAGGAAUGAUGGAAGAAUAAAUCCCCACAGAUCCAAUUACCCAAACGAAUCCUGACACCAAACCAAAUAGCACGAGAUGUAGCGCAUGCUGCGCAUACCACCCCCACGGGUGAUUGGCGAAACAGGGUUCUUUCAGAUGAAAAAAUCGGGAAAUGAUAGCGCGAGAAGGAAACGUCUACUAAUCGGGAAGCGCGAACCUGAACAAGCGGGAAAGGAAACCGCGGCGGAGGAGGGAGAGGACGACGGGAUUCAGGAGCCGAGACUCGAGACCACGCACCUUGUAGAGAGGACGAGCGGCGAGGGGAACGGCGGGCAGCGGCGGCGGUUUGCUCGGGCGAGCUCGUGCGGUUGCGCCGCGCGGGGCUAUUAUACUAGCAGCGACGCUGGGGACGCGGGGCUCCGAGGCCGAGGGCGGGGAGGGACGCGUGGCUGUAUUGGAUUGG